rnacentral:lncRNA from 1 species
CUGAGAGGACUGUAAUGACACUUUUUCUGCUCUUGUUUCUAGAAUUAGAGAGGAUUUCAGGACAGAGGAAGAGCAGAUGAAAAUGAGGACUGACCUUCAACCAAAUAUUUAAGAACCACACAGAGCCUGAUGUGCUCCACACUGCAUGAUUCAGUGCGAAGGAAGCAUACCUCAAUGAGGUCAUCAGGAAACAAAGAUAUAGCAGCGCUGAAAGGAACGGCAGUGGGACAUUGCUCAGAAUACUAUCGAAGAAUUCAAGCUUUUCUUAAACGACAGCACUCUUCAUUUCAGAGCUGACUUGUCAAAGAGACUAAGCCAUCAGCAGUUUAAAUUGUAAGAAUAAUCUUCUUGAAAGAACU